CCUACGGGAGGCAGCAGUGAGGAAUAUUGGUCAAUGGGCGCGAGACUGAACCAGCCAAGUAGCGUGAAGGAUGACUGCCCUACGGGUUGUAAACUUCUUUUAUAAAGGAAUAAAGUGAGGCACGUGUGCCUUUUUGUAUGUACUUUAUGAAUAAGGAUCGGCUAACUCCGUGCCAGCAGCCGCGGUAAUACGGAGGCUCCGAGCGUUAUCCGGAUUUAUUGGGUUUAAAGGGAGCGUAGAUGGGUUGUUAAGUCAGUUGUGAAAGUUUGCGGCUCAACCGUAAAAUUGCAAUUGAUACUGGCAGUCUUGAGUACAGUUGAGGUAGGCGGAAUUCGUGGUGUAGCGGUGAAAUGCUUAGAUAUCACGAAGAACUCCGAUUGCGAAGGCAGCUUACUAAACUGCCACUGACAUUGAUGCUCGAAAGUGUGGGUAUCAAACAGGAUUAGAUACCCGAGUAGUC
rnacentral:rRNA from 1 species